CAGCUUCCAAAGCUCCUUCAGGUCCAGGCUGAGGCUUCCCCACCCCAGCAACCACCCCAAGGUGUGGAGGGCCCACCCCCGGGGCCAGACCUGUCCACACAGGGCCCACGCCCACCCAUCUGCUCCAUGUCCCACCUGGGCUUCUCCACCUUGGCCCUGUGCUGUCCCCCAACACUUGGGGAAGCAGGGCCCACCACUGCACACUAUGUUAGGACCCAUGCACGCACCAGGUACUGUGUGUGCCCGGACAUGUCCAGACUCAAGUUCUGUCUCUUACCUGAAGGGAUUAUGGUAUGAACGCAUCAUCUUGGAAGCAAACCGUCCAUCCCCAG